GUACUCGGUUCGGCAGCACAUGUACUAAAACUGGAACUAUACAGAGAAGGUUAGCAUGGCCCCUGCGUAAGGAUGACAAAAACAGUGGUAAAGCGUGCGGCAGGACU